rnacentral:rRNA from 1 species
AACGAACGCUGGCGGCAGGCCUAACACAUGCAAGUCGAGCGAGGACUUCGGUCCUAGCGGCGGACGGGUGAGUAACGCGUGGGAACGUGCCCUUUGCUUCGGAAUAGCCCUGGGAAACUGGGAGUAAUACCGGAUGAGCCCUUUGGGGGAAAGAUUUAUCGGCGAAGGAUCGGCCCGCGUUGGAUUAGGUAGUUGGUGGGGUAAUGGCCUACCAAGCCGACGAUCCAUAGCUGGUUUGAGAGGAUGAUCAGCCACACUGGGACUGAGACACGGCCCAGACUCCUACGGGAGGCAGCAGUGGGGAAUCUUAGACAAUGGGGGAAACCCUGAUCUAGCCAUGCCGCGUGAGCGACGAAGGCCUUAGGGUUGUAAAGCUCUUUCAGCUGGGAAGAUAAUGACGGUACCAGCAGAAGAAGCCCCGGCUAACUCCGUG